UACGAAGGGGGCUAGCGUUGCUCGGAAUCACUGGGCGUAAAGGGUGCGUAGGCGGGUUUUUAAGUCAGAGGUGAAAUCCUGGAGCUCAACUCCAGAACUGCCUUUGAUACUGAGAAUCUUGAGUAUGGGAGAGGUGAGUGGAACUGCGAGUGUAGAGGUGAAAUUCGUAGAUAUUCGCAAGAACCCCAGUGGCGAAGGCGGCUCACUGGCCCAUAACUGACGCUGAGGCACGAAAGCGUGGGGAGCAAACAGG
rnacentral:rRNA from 1 species